UACAUGGGGGGCAAGCGUUGCUCGGAAUUAUUGGGCGUAAAGCGCGCGUAGGCGGUUACUCAAGUCGGAUGUGAAAGCCCUCGGCUUAACUGAGGAAGUGCACCCGAAACUGAGUAGCUAGAGUACUAAAGAGGGUCGCGGAAUUCCCGGUGUAGAGGUGAAAUUCGUAGAUAUCGGGAGGAACACCGGUGGCGAAGGCGGCGACCUGGGUAGAUACUGACGCUGAGGCGCGAAAGCGUGGGGAGCAAACAGG
rnacentral:rRNA from 1 species